AUGAGAAGUUUAGAAUCCUGCAGGGUGAUUCACCAUAGUUGGACUAUUUUUGUGCUAUCUUGGAAACAUAGGGACCAAGGCAAAAAUCUGACACAGUGCCUCUUGUACAAUGCCAAAACCUCCCUAAACUUGAUCUGUCUGCCUCCUACCUAUAAUUCUUUCAGCUUUGUCUUGGGUAAUUAUCCACAUUGUUUCCUUCUCUUCCUUUUGCAGGUAGCCUGGCAGGGAUCUGGCGGCAAUGAAAAGUAUUUCUUUGAAAAUGAGAAUGUGUGUAUGAUCUUCAACGCUGGAGAGCUGACCCUGGUGGAAUAUGGGAGCAGCGACACCUUGGGCUCCGUGCGUACUGAAUUCAUGAACCCUCACCUCAUCAGCGUCCGUAUUAAUGAGCGACAUCAGCAAGGAAUGGAAGAUAAUAAGAAAUUGGCUUAUCUUGUUGAUAUUAAGACUAUUGCUGUCGUGGAUCUGAUUGGUGGCUACAACAUUGGUACCAUCAGCCAUGAGAGCCGUGUAGAUUGGCUGGAGCUUAAUGAGACUGGGCACAAACUCCUCUUCAGGGACCGGAAACUUCGUUUGCAUCUGUAUGAUAUUGAAAGCUGCUCUAAGACAAUGAUCCUCAACUUCUGCUCCUACGUACAGUGGGUUCCUGGAAGUGAUGUCCUGGUAGCUCAGAACAGAAACAACUUGUGUGUGUGGUACAAUAUUGAGGCACCUGAGAGGGUCACCAUGUUCUCCAUCAGGGGUGACGUCAUAGGUCUGGAGCGCAGCGGGGGAAAGACCCAGGUGAUGGUGACAGAAGGUGUGACCACCGUUGCCUGCACGCUGGAUGAGGGCCUCAUUGAGUUUGGAACAGCCAUCGAUGACGGCAACUACACCCGAGCAACAGUCUUCUUGGAGACCCUACAGAUGACCCCCGAAACAGAGGCUAUGUGGAAAACCUUGAGUAAACUGGCGCUGGAGGCAAGGCAGCUCCACAUAGCUGAGAGGUGCUUUUCUGCUUUGGGUCAUGUGGCAAAAGCUCGAUUCCUGCAUGAGACCAAUGAGAUCGCAGAUCAGGUGUCCUGGGAAUUUGGUGGAGAAGGAACAGACUUCUAUCAGGUCCGAGCACGUCUGGCCAUGCUGGAGAAGAACUACAAACUGGCUGAAAUGAUCUUCUUGGAACAGAAUGCUGUUGAGGAGGCUAUGAACAUGUACCAAGAGCUACACCGUUGGGACGAGUGUAUCGCUGUGGCUGAGGCCAAGGGACAUCCAGCCCUGGAGAAGCUGCGCCGGGAUUACUACCAGUGGCUGAUGGACACGCAGCAAGAGGAGCGAGCAGGUGAACUUCAGGAGAGCCAAGGGGAUGGGCUGGCAGCCAUCAGCCUGUACCUCAAAGCUGGGCUUCCCGCCAAAGCGGCUCGCCUGGUGCUGACCCGAGAGGAGCUGCUGGCCACCACAGAGCUGGUGGAGCACAUCACCACGGCCCUCAUCCAGGGGGACCUCCACGAGAGGGCAGGUGACCUCUUUGAGAAGAUUAGAAAUCCACAGCGGGCCCUUGAGUGCUAUUGUAAAGGCAACGCAUUCAUGAAAGCUGUAGAGCUGGCUCGAUCGGCCUUCCCCAUGGAGGUGGUGAGACUGGAGGAGGCAUGGGGGGACCACUUGGUGCAGCAGAAGCAGCUUGAUGCCGCCAUUAAUCAUUACAUCGAAGCCAGGUGCUCCAUUAAGGCAAUUGAGGCUGCCCUGGGUGCCCGCCAGUGGAAGAAGGCAAUUUAUAUCUUAGAUCUACAGGACCGGAACACUGCAUCCAAAUACUAUCCUCGAGUGGCCCAACACUAUGCGUCUCUGCAGGAGUAUGAGAUUGCCGAGGAGCUCUACAUUAAGGGAGACCGGAUCAAAGAUGCUAUAGACAUGUACACCCAGGCUGGCCACUGGGAGCAAGCACACAAGCUGGCGAUGAAAUGCAUGCGACCAGAAGAUGUGUCAGUGCUGUACAUCACUCAGGCCCAGGAAAUGGAGAGGCAGGGCAAGUACCGCGAGGCUGAAAGGCUCUAUGUGACAGUGGAAGAGCCUGAUCUUGCCAUCACCAUGUUCAAAAAGCACAAGUUGUAUGAUGACAUGAUCCGGCUGGUAGGAAAGCACCACCCAGAUCUACGCAGUGACACGCACCUCCACCUGGGCAAGGAGCUGGAGGCUGAAGGCCGACUGCAGGAGGCAGAGUAUCACUACCUCGAGGCCCAGGAGUGGAAGGCAACAGUAAAUAUGUACCGGUCCAGCGGGCUUUGGGAAGAGGCCUACCGGGUGGCCAAGACUCAUGGAGGAGCGAAUGCCCAUAAGCACGUGGCCUACCUGUGGGCAAAGAGCCUGGGAGGAGAGGCUGCAGUGAGACUGCUUCACAAGCUGGGACUCCUGGAAGCCGCUAUUGACCAUGCUGCCGAAAACUGGUGAGGCCUAAUACCUUCUCCAUGGGCCCCUGUAUGAGAAACAUGUCCAAAACCCAAAGCAAGCAUGAAGAAAUGCA
rnacentral:lncRNA from 1 species